rnacentral:rRNA from 1 species
UACGUGUGGUCCGAGCGUUGUCCGGAAUGACUGGGCGUAAAGGGUGCGUAGGUGGACAUAUAAGUCAGGUGUGAAAUCCCCGAGCUUAACUUGGGAAUUGCGCUUGAAACUAUGUGUCUAGAGGAUGUCAGGGGUAGGCGGAAUUCCCGGAGUAGCGGUGAAAUGCGUAGAUAUCGGGAAGAACACCAGUGGCGAAGGCGGCUUACUGGGGCAUUACUGACACUGAGGCACGAAAGCGUGGGGAGCGAACAGGAUUAGAUACCCUGGUAGCCCACGCUGUAAACGAUGGAUACUAGUUGUCGGUGGCAUUAUCGCUGUCGGUGACGCAGCUAACGUAGUAAGUAUCCCGCCUGGGGAGUACGGUCGCAAGAUUAAA